rnacentral:rRNA from 1 species
UUCUUGGUCAUUUUAGAGGAAGUAAAAGUCGUAACAAGGUUUCCGUAGGUGAACCUGCGGAAGGAUCAUUACUGAGAGGGGGGCACCGCGCUCCCGGGGGCUUCGGCCCCCAACUCUUCACCCGUUGUCUACUCACUCUUGUUGCUUUGGCGGGCCUCGAGGUUCGCCUCGCGCCGUCGCCGGGGCUUCACUGCCCCCGUCGGCGAGCGCCCGUCGGAAGCUUUUCCAUUAUACGCUCUGUUAGUGAUGUCCGAGUACGAAACCCAAUAGUCAAAACUUUCAACAACGGAUCUCUUGGUUCCAGCAUCGAUGAAGAACGCAGCGAAAUGCGAUAAGUAAUGUGAAUUGCAGAAUUCAGUGAAUCAUCGAAUCUUUGAACGCACAUUGCGCCCCUCGGUAUUCCGGGGGGCAUGCCUGUUCGAGCGUCAUUGCACCCCCCAAGCGUAGCUUGGUAUUGGGACUUCGCCCCUCCGGGCGGGCCCGAAAGAUAGUGGCGGUCCGGAGCGACUUCAGGCGUAGUAAAUAUUAUCCCGCUUGGAAGUUUCGCCCCGCGGCCGGCCAGGCAACCCCGCAUUUCCAAUGAUUGACCUCGGAUCAGGUAAGGAUACCCGCUGAACUUAAGCAUAUCAAAAGGGGGGAAGGAAA